UGAUCAGCUUUUGUUACGAACAAAUUGGCCAAAAGAGUAAGGUGAAGGGCUCGUUUUGGAUAUUGGAAAAGUUUGUGUGGGACCCAGUGCAAAAGGGGCUGAAAAUUACAUUGAAGCUUUGAGUUAGUACUAUAAUCUCAUCUCCCUCGUAGUAUAUUUUAGUAUCGCAUCUCCUUCCAAUUAACUCUUUUUCUGUAAAUCUAAGAUUUCCCUAUUAGUAUAUAUGUCGAUAGUGUGUACUGUAUAGAUUAUACUGAUAAAUUAAUUGAUCGAAGGGUAAAUGUGCACAGCUUUCCAUUUAAAUGGCUGCCCCAAAAACGGGUAUUUGGGCCUUCGCCUGCUACUUAAACGGGAUCAUCAUUUACGUUUUCAUCCAUCAGAGGAACUUAAAAAAAAGGCAGCCCGGUGCACUAAAGCUAUCGCUAUGCGCGGUGUCCGGGGAAGGGCUCCACCACAAGGGUGUAUCGUACGCAGCUUUACCUUGCAUUUCUGCUCUGCUAGAGGCUGUUUCUAAGGUUUGAACCCGUGACCUCCUGGUCACAUCAGAAGAACUUAAGAAGCCAAAAUAAAGUUAAUGUAAUGAAACACUACUCUUGCUUUAAUGAGAAAAUUAUCAUGAUGAAAAACUCAUAUCCUUGCUGUAAGAUAUGGCCUUAUUUGACAUCUGCCAAUUUACAAGGUCACAUAUAUUUCAUGGAGCCAAAGUACUGUUAUGUGGUAGAAAAUUUGGCCAUGUAUUAUUUUCUCUAUUAUAAACUUGGAGCCCAAGUUAUAAAAGGAGAGUUAUUUAUGUAACUUAACCAUCCCUCUUCUUUUUUUUUUUUUGAUAUAUUUUGGGAUCACCAGAGUUUCAUCUCUAAUUUUAUACUCUCGUUGGAUCAUCCCACUUUUGUUAGGAACUCAUGUUGAGUGUUCUAAUUUGUAAUAGAGAGUUUUGUG